UAAUGUCGCAAGACCAAAGAGGGGGACCUUCGGGCCUCUUGCCAUCGGAUGUGCCCAGAUGGGAUUAGCUUGUUGGUGGGGUAACGGCUCACCAAGGCGACGAUCCCUAGCUGGUCUGAGAGGAUGACCAGCCACACUGGAACUGAGACACGGUCCAGACUCCUACGGGAGGCAGCAGUGGGGAAUAUUGCACAAUGGGCGCAAGCCUGAUGCAGCCAUGCCGCGUGUAUGAAGAAGGCCUUCGGGUUGUAAAGUACUUUCAGCGGGGAGGAAGGGAGUAAAGUUAAUACCUUUGCUCAUUGACGUUACCCGCAGAAGAAGCACCGGCUAACUCCGUGCCAGCAGCCGCGGUAAUACGGAGGGUGCAAGCGUUAAUCGGAAUUACUGGGCGUAAAGCGCACGCAGGCGGUUUGUUAAGUCAGAUGUGAAAUCCCCGGGCUCAACCUGGGAACUGCAUCUGAUACUGGCAAGCUUGAGUCUCGUAGAGGGGGGUAGAAUUCCAGGUGUAGCGGUGAAAUGCGUAGAGAUCUGGAGGAAUACCGGUGGCGAAGGCGGCCCCCUGGACGAAGACUGACGCUCAGGUGCGAAAGCGUGGGGAGCAAACAGGAUUAGAUACCCUGGUAGUCCACGCCGUAAACGAUGUCGACUUGGAGGUUGUGCCCUUGAGGCGUGGCUUCCGGAGCUAACGCGUUAAGUCGACCGCCUGGGGAGUACGGCCGCAAGGUUAAAACUCAAAUGAAUUGACGGGGGCCCGCACAAGCGGUGGAGCAUGUGGUUUAAUUCGAUGCAACGCGAAGAACCUUACCUGGUCUUGACAUCCACGGAAGUUUUCAGAGAUGAGAAUGUGCCUUCGGGAACCGUGAGACAGGUGCUGCAUGGCUGUCGUCAGCUCGUGUUGUGAAAUGUUGGGUUAAGUCCCGCAACGAGCGCAACCCUUAUCCUUUGUUGCCAGCGGUCCGGCCGGGAACUCAAAGGAGACUGCCAGUGAUAAACUGGAGGAAGGUGGGGACGACGUCAAGUCAUCAUGGCCCUUACGACCAGGGCUACACACGUGCUACAAUGGCGCAUACAAAGAGAAGCGACCUCGCGAGAGCAAGCGGACCUCAUAAAGUGCGUCGUAGUCCGGAUUGGAGUCUGCAACUCGACUCCAUGAAGUCGGAAUCGCUAGUAAUCGUGGAUCAGAAUGCCACGGUGAAUACGUUCCCGGGCCUUGUACACACCGCCCGUCACACCAUGGGAGUGGGUUGCAAAAGAAGUAGGUAGCUUAACCUUCGGGAGGGCGCUUACCACUUUGUGAUUCAUGACUGGGGUGAAGUCGUAACAAGGUAACCGUAGGGGAACCUGCGGUUGGAUCACCUCCUU
rnacentral:rRNA from 1 species